GUGCUCCCUUCGGCAGCACAUAUACUAAAAUUGAAACAAUACAGAGAAGAUUAGCACAGCCCCUGCGCAGGGAUGACACGCAAAUUCAUGAAGCUUUCCAUAUUAAA